rnacentral:lncRNA from 1 species
UGAUGCCCCUAGGAACUUGUAUGCUUGUGUAUGAGUGUUGUAGAAUAGGUUUAUGCAUGUUUGGAUGAGAGUGGAGGCAUAAAUGCAUAAGGGAGCUGAGUUUCUGCCAUUCUGGGAGAAACCAGGUUCGGCAGCCGAAGGAACUUUCGGCCGCCGAACAUGCUUGUGGAGGCAGCCUUCAGCUGCCGAAGCUUGCCCCCGAAAGGAGACUUUCGUCUCUGUCUGGGACUUUCGGCCGCCGAAAGUGCCGCCGAACAUGCAUGAGGUUCGCCUCUGUCUGGGAGUUUCGGCCGCCGAAGGUGCCGCCGAACCUGCCUGAC